UGGGGAAUAUUGGACAAUGGGCGCAAGCCUGAUCCAGCCAUGCCGCGUGGGUGAAGAAGGCCUUCGGGUUGUAAAGCCCUUUUGUCCGGAACGAAAAGCUGCGGGUUAAUACCCCGUAGUGCUGACGGUACCGGAAGAAUAAGCACCGGCUAACUUCGUGCCAGCAGCCGCGGUAAUACGAAGGGUGCAAGCGUUACUCGGAAUCACUGGGCGUAAAGCGUGCGUAGGCGGUUUCUUAAGUCUGUCGUGAAAGCCCUGGGCUCAACCUGGGAAUGGCGAUGGAUACUGGGAGGCUAGAGUGUGAUAGAGGAUGGUGGAAUUCCCGGUGUAGCGGUGAAAUGCGUAGAGAUCGGGAGGAACACCAGUGGCGAAGGCGGCCAUCUGGAUCAACACUGACGCUGAGGCACGAAAGCGUGGGGAGCAAACAGG
rnacentral:rRNA from 1 species